rnacentral:rRNA from 1 species
GACGAACGCUGGCGGCGUGCCUAAUACAUGCAAGUCGAACGCUUCUUUCCUCCCGAGUGCUUGCACUCAAUUGGAAAGAGGAGUGGCGGACGGGUGAGUAACACGUGGGUAACCUACCCAUCAGAGGGGGAUAACACUUGGAAACAGGUGCUAAUACCGCAUAACAGUUUAUGCCGCAUGGCAUAAGAGUGAAAGGCGCUUUCGGGUGUCGCUGAUGGAUGGACCCGCGGUGCAUUAGCUAGUUGGUGAGGCAACGGCUCACCAAGGCCACGAUGCAUAGCCGACCUGAGAGGGUGAUCGGCCACACUGGGACUGAGACACGGCCCAGACUCCUACGGGAGGCAGCAGUAGGGAAUCUUCGGCAAUGGACGAAAGUCUGACCGAGCAACGCCGCGUGAGUGAAGAAGGUUUUCGGAUCGUAAAACUCUGUUGUUAGAGAAGAACAAGGACGUUAGUAACUGAACGUCCCCUGACGGUAUCUAACCAGAAAGACACGGCUAACUACGUG